rnacentral:lncRNA from 13 species
GGUCUUCUUAAAGAGGAAGACAUUGUAGUCUCCCUCAUUCAACAAAGACUAUUAUCCCAGGAGGUCAACCUUUUCUCUUAACCUUCCAUUUGGUGUUAUAGACAUGUAAGAGACAGUUUAUUCAAUUCUAAUUUGCUUGUUUUAUCUGGCGAAGGACAUUGCUUUUUGGACUGGGGGAUGACACAGACUGGUGAUGGAUUCUGCCAGGAGGCCCUGUUUCAUAACCGUGUGUUUGUGGGUACUGGCAACCACCUGUCUUCCAUAUUCCGGCUCCCAGAGCCCCAGUCUGUGGGGUAAGAAGGCGGUGUUCUUGGGCCGUCCAUGUGUGUGGCAGCUGGGUAAGGAGUGUGUAAUGCCCCUCCUGGAAGAGCUCAGUGUGUGUGUGCACCUGUGCCGGAAGAUCGCGACACCUGAGUGGACCGGCUUUGUGUACAAGGCACCUGGCAACAGGCAGGUAGAGCUGGGGCUUGCAGGCCGGGGAGGGCUCCUGGUGGCAUGGCUGUUUGGGCAGGAGUGGUCGGUACCAGAGGACCUGCCCCUGGAACACUGGCAAAACGUCUGCCUCACCUGGUCCAGCAACUCCGAGAGGCUCAGACUCUACAUCAAUGGGAGCAGUCGCCUGGACGCCCACGUUAACGCCAGCCUGUCCCGGCAACUGGCCCACAAUGGCACCCUGACCCUGGGGGUGUCCCAUAACAUAGUAGAUGGGGUGAUGGAGUUUGAGGAUGGGAAGAACUUCCUGGGGGACAUAAGCCUGUUCCGGAUAUGGGGGCAGGAGCAGACGGCUGAGGAGGUGAGGGCCCAUAGCUGUGCCGAUGGGAACGUGGUGAGCUGGGACACCCGUGACUGGGACUACCAGAGCUGCCUACCUGAAGAUGACACUAGCCUCCAGUGUGCAUGGUCAAUGUUCAAAAUUAAAAUGAAGGCCGUCAUAGCACAACGGCACCCUCUUGACAAGCCUGUCAAUUCCCCAGAGGACAUCAUACGCAAAUGGCUGGGGACCAUAUUUCCUGGGAACAUUUCUGUGCGUGACAUCUUUGUGUCAUCUCCAAGCCAGAUCUGUCAAGUGGGCUAUAAUCCUAGUGUGCGAAACACAGAGAAAGCUCAGGAAGCAAGAAAAAUGGAGUUCAACUCAACUUCUGACAAGUGGUAUGAGGAGAAUGCAUAA